CUCACAUGCUCCUGUGCGUACACGCAAACGCACAUCCCACUCGACGGAGUUGCCGAGGGCGCCCGACCAUUCAUAACGUGGUGGACACCGACAAACACUCUCAACCUCUCUCUCUGACGCCCUGCCUAGUUCUUUGCCUCCUCGUCAUACCCCAAGCUUGCACGUCCUCUUUUCUCUCCCCGCAGCUUCGCACCUCUUCUCGGGCGCGCCCCGGAACGCCUCCAAAACAAAGGCGCGCAGCUCCGGCGUCGAAGGAAAGCGUGGGGGUAGAUAGACGAGGAAGGUGUACGAGAAUGCGAUCGGACGAUGGAGAGAGAGAGAGCGUUAGCGUUCUGCCGCGCGCAACCGGUGCGGCGACGUUGUUGUUGUGGGGCAUUGAUCCCUUCCUCGUCUUCGCUUUCCCUGUUCUCUUUUCCAUUCGUUCCCACGUGUGCACCGUGAGGCUCACGUCUGCGGGUGCGCGUGACGGGGUGUUAGAGUGGCUGGCUUGUGUGCGUCUCUAUCUUUUUUUUCUUUUCGUUGUUUUGUUGCUUUUGCCGCCCUUCCCUUUAUUUUGCAGUAGUUGCUUUGGUUGGAAGGAGGUCCCGAAACGCUGCUCGUUUUAUCCGUAUGUCUGCCUCGGCGUGUCCCGCGCCGGUGUCUGGCACACCUCACGCCAUUAUGCGCUCCGCUGCUCCAUAAGGUGCAUGUAGCAUUGCGCUCACGCGCUCCUUCCCAUCACUCUUCCUCAUCACUUAGGUGUUUUGUUCUCCCUUCUUGUUUUCUUCUCUUCUCACAUGCCCAGCAUGUGCGCCGCGGCGCGCCUCGUUUCUGCUCGCGUGCAUUCUCUACUGUAAAACAUGAG
rnacentral:misc_RNA from 1 species